UCCCGCUUAGCUCAGUGGUAGAGCGCGUCACUAGUACUCAGAGGUUACAAAAUGACGAGGUCAGUCGUUCAAGUCGGCUAGCGGGAA
rnacentral:tRNA from 1 species